UGGGGAAUCUUCCGCAAUGGACGAAAGUCUGACGGAGCAACGCCGCGUGUAUGAUGAAGGUCUUCGGAUUGUAAAGUACUGUCAUUGGGGAAGAACGGUUUUCUUGAAAAGAUUGAGAAGACAUGACGGUACCCAAGGAGGAAGCCCCGGCUAACUACGUGCCAGCAGCCGCGGUAAUACGUAGGGGGCAAGCGUUGUCCGGAAUUAUUGGGCGUAAAGGGCGCGUAGGCGGGCCUUUAAGUCCGGUGUGAAAGAUCAGGGCUCAACCCUGAGAGUGCAUCGGAAACUGGAGGCCUUGAGGACAGGAGAGGAAAGUGGAAUUCCACGUGUAGCGGUGAAAUGCGUAGAUAUGUGGAGGAACACCAGUGGCGAAGGCGACUUUCUGGACUGUAACUGACGCUGAGGCGCGAAAGCGUGGGGAGCAAACAGGAUUAGAUACCCUGGUAGUCCACGCCGUAAACGAUGAGUGCUAGGUGUAGAGGGUAUCGACCCCUUCUGUGCCGCAGUUAACACAAUAAGCACUCCCGCCUGGGGAGUACGGCCGCAAGGUUGAAACUUAAAUGAAUUGACGGGGUCAUAGCUGUUUCCU
rnacentral:rRNA from 1 species